rnacentral:lncRNA from 1 species
AAGGCUUCAUGCUAUGCCAGAUGAAUGAUAUGCAUGAGCGAAGCGAUAUGAUUAAUGUAUGGUGAUGAUUUAUGUAAUGGUUCUGAAGGUUCAGCAAGUGACAUUGUAUGGUUGAAAUUGGGAAGUAUCUUUCUUGGCUACAAGACUUCUUAUUGAAAAGUUAUGGGAUGUGCUUAACAUGAUUUCCGACAUUCAUCUUGAACUCAGUGGUUGCUUAUGCACGAUAUAACUUGCUCGAGUAGAUUUGAGAGUAUGGAGAAG